rnacentral:rRNA from 1 species
GACGUAGGGUCCGAGCGUUGUCCGGAGUUACUGGGCGUAAAGCGCGCGCAGGCGGUUCGUCGCAUCGGGGGUGAAAGCCCCCCGCUCAACGGGGGAGGGUCCAUCGAGAUGGGCGGACUGGAGGCAGGGAGAGGCCAGUGGAAUUCCGGGUGUAGUGGUGAAAUGCGUGGAGAUCCGGAGGAACACCAGUGGCGAAGGCGGCUGGCUGGACCUGACCUGACGCUGAGGCGCGAAGGCGUGGGGAGCGAACGGG